UGCGCCUGCGGCGGGUAAAGCAGAUUCCAGAUACGGCUUUGCAGGCAGCCGGGAUCUGUUCAGUCCGGUAGAAUCAAGCACGCUUUGAUUCCUUCAAAGUUUUU
rnacentral:sRNA from 1 species